UAGGAAACUUAGAAAUUUUAGAGUUUGAAUUCUGGCUCAGAUUGAACGCUGGCGGCAGGCCUAACACAUGCAAGUCGAGCGGAUGAAGGGAGCUUGCUCCUGGAUUCAGCGGCGGACGGGUGAGUAAUGCCUAGGAAUCUGCCUGGUAGUGGGGGAUAACGUCCGGAAACGGGCGCUAAUACCGCAUACGUCCUGAGGGAGAAAGUGGGGGAUCUUCGGACCUCACGCUAUCAGAUGAGCCUAGGUCGGAUUAGCUAGUUGGUGGGGUAAAGGCCUACCAAGGCGACGAUCCGUAACUGGUCUGAGAGGAUGAUCAGUCACACUGGAACUGAGACACGGUCCAGACUCCUACGGGAGGCAGCAGUGGGGAAUAUUGGACAAUGGGCGAAAGCCUGAUCCAGCCAUGCCGCGUGUGUGAAGAAGGUCUUCGGAUUGUAAAGCACUUUAAGUUGGGAGGAAGGGCAGUAAGUUAAUACCUUGCUGUUUUGACGUUACCAACAGAAUAAGCACCGGCUAACUUCGUGCCAGCAGCCGCGGUAAUACGAAGGGUGCAAGCGUUAAUCGGAAUUACUGGGCGUAAAGCGCGCGUAGGUGGUUCAGCAAGUUGGAUGUGAAAUCCCCGGGCUCAACCUGGGAACUGCAUCCAAAACUACUGAGCUAGAGUACGGUAGAGGGUGGUGGAAUUUCCUGUGUAGCGGUGAAAUGCGUAGAUAUAGGAAGGAACACCAGUGGCGAAGGCGACCACCUGGACUGAUACUGACACUGAGGGGCGAAAAGAGGG
rnacentral:rRNA from 1 species